rnacentral:lncRNA from 1 species
AGCCGAGUUCGCGCCGCCGGUAGGUGCUGCCAUGCCAGGGGGCGGGAUCGUGGAGCGCCUCGCAGAACCGCACGAAAGCAAAAACAAAGCCAUCUCUCCGGAGCAGAAAUAGAACAGACGUGGCCGGGGAAAGCCAAAUAUUUCCUGCCGUCCUGGUGAACACAAUCGAGCAAGGCAGUGAAGCAAACAUCAUUAGGUGGCUGGACUCAGACACAUCACGCUCCAGUUUGGGUUCCAAGGUGCUUCUCUCUGGAUUUUCACCUGCCUUGCCAAAAAUGAUUGAUUACGCUGGGCCAACUGGGUGUCCGGCAAUACCCAACAAAUGACUUUGGCCCCUAACAGCAGGUCUUGGCCAGACAGAAAUCAAUAUUUCACCAUUAAAAUCUAUCAAAGAAGAGUUAAGGCACCAUCUGUCCCUGCCGCCUCUCUAUGGUGUGUGAACAUUAAAUCCGACACUUGUACUACAUGGGUAAUCAAUAUAUAGUGGUUCACAGAUCAUUUGUGGUUCCCUUUUAGCAGUGAUGGAUGUCUGGAAUCGUUGUGAUUCAUUUUGUCAGACCAUUAAACAAGAUUCUGUCCA